ACGUGGCUAGGCAUAAAAAUCUAUACGCUGUACACGUUCUAAAUUGAUAAUGUGACGAGAAUGGUAAGAUGACCAGAUGAUAGAACAGUAGUUCUGAGCGAGGCUUAACCAACGCACGAUACACGAUACGAUCUAACGGUGUUGACGUCCUUAAAAAAAACUUACACGCUCUGUGUAAUGUAACCAAGAAGCUGGAGCGCACUACUGUUAGUGGCAACCUUGAUGAUUUGUUGCAGACGAGAGAAAGGGACCGUGCACGGUGUAAUUAUUUGAAUUGAAUUGAGAUACUAGCUCGAGAGAAACGAAUGACCGACCAUUUCUUCGAGUUAAGUAUAAAUAGACGACUGCACGUGCAGCAAGCUUGUGAAUGUCAUUCUGAGUAAGUUUAUGGCUGACAGAAUUAUCAAUAGCGUGAUACAAU
rnacentral:misc_RNA from 1 species